UGAGGGUAGGUACCAAGAGGCCCAGUGGGGCUCGCACACGACAGGCUGGCGAGGAGGGGUGUGAAGGGACCUCUUUUCUGGUACUUUCUGCUCUCCGGAAGGAAAGGCAGCGAGCCAGAGGCGAUCUGGCGGGAGGGGGAGAGCGCGGGGCACGCAGGCCCGGGAGGAGAGACAGGGAAACGGUGGCUCAAAGAGGACCCAGGUCUGCCCACACAUUGAAGCAUCAUCUUGGGCUACACGCCCUCCGCAAGGAAGCAAUGACCCUGAACCUGUCCUCGGAUCCUGGGAGGCCAACAGUGUGUAAUGCUAACAGUGAGUGAUCGGGAACGUCACAUUCUGAUUAAAGAGACAGAGCAAGAGAGAGAACACAAGCAGGACGAGUGGGAGACAGAGAAGCAGGCUUCCUGCUGAGCAGGGAGCCCAAUGCAGGGCUCGAUCCCAGGACCCUGGGUUCAUGACCUGAGCCAAAGGCAGACACCUAACAACUGAACCACCCAGGCACUCCUAAUUUGAUCAAUCUUAACAUUGGUUCAUAUUUCAAUGCAUGAAUAUACCACAAAUUGGCUAUAUAUUCUACUGUUGAUGAAAGUUUGGGACUUCCAAUAAAGCAAGAAAAAUAAAUUUAAAGUAUAACAAUUGGAAAUAAAGAACAAACUGUCACUAUCCAUAGACGUGGUACUGAUAGAAGAUCCAUACAAAUUAGUAAAUAAAU